ensembl:lncRNA
AUGGCACGCCACGCGUUAACAUACAGGGCGUCGUCCCCGAGAGUGACUCCAAACGCUUCGUUGUUGACGUCACUCGCCCACCUCCUUCGAACCGGUAGGUUCUUUUGUGUCACCGCUGGAGGGGGUUACCUUUCACCUGCCACGUCACGCAGAGACAAUCAGGGGGGGUUUUCAGCGAGCAUUCAACUCAAGCGACUUCUUCCCAGAUGUUCCACAGGAACAGCUUUUCUCCUGCUGAAGUCGAAGUGCCGAAGUCACGUGGCCGAGUUAUACAAGAUGAGGCGUGUUUAUCGGAGCUUCACAUGGAUGGGGAGGAAUCGGGAGGAAACAUUUGCUGUGAUCAAGCGGAGCCGCUUUCUGUUGUUUUUAGUUAAUCCUUUAUUUUGUAUUGUAUUUCAUUGCAGCAUCUUGCACAAACAAAAAACACAAAGUAUCAACUUGUACAUAAACCGAUAAAAUCUUUCACACACUAGUAUCAAAACAAAUUAACAAGCAUUCACAUACAACCGAUCUAAAAUCCCAUCAGUAAAAAAAAAAAAAAAGAAAUAUUAAUAUUAUAAUAGGAAAUAAACACAAACAUAUUUACAAAGUCUCCUGUUGAGACUUCAACUAC